UUGAUUGCUGUCAGCUAUGAGGCCUAUAAAUAUGGGGUGAAGUGGUAAGUAUUCGUUACUUAUAUUUUCUAAGUACUUCAUGUAUGACUGGAUCUUCUUGGACUGGUGAAAUCUAUUAUGUGGGUUUUUUAAGUUCAAUGUGAGGUGAUGAAGCGAAGCAAGUUUGCCCACAAAUCCAACUUGUCCAAGUCCCAGUUGCUCGUGGUAAAGCUGACUUGAGCAUAUACCGAAAUGCGGGUUCAGAGGUGGUUUCUAUUCUUGCAAGGAAGGGUAGAUGUGAGCAUGCUUCAAUUGAUGAAUUGUAUCUUGAUCUCACUGAUGAUGCUGAAGCAAUGUUAGCAGAAACUCCUCCAGAGAGCUUGGAAGGUAGCACAUACACUCACUUUGCAUGCCAGAGCUUUCAAGUCCAGUGACUCUAAGUCGCAGAAAAAUUUUCCUUCCAAGUCAUGUCCAUUGAGGUAUGGCUCUGCCAAGAUCAAAGAAGAUGCCCUGAACUUAUUUCAAGCGGGGUUACGUGAAUACCUUGGCUCACACAGAAUCAAGGCUCAGGGAAGUCAAUACAAUGGAUGGGGAAUAACUUCUCUUUCUGUUACGGCCAGUAAAAUAGUUGCUAUUCCAUCUGUAAGUUCAAAUUUUUUUGUUGUCUCAUAUUUUAUUAUCUUGCAAUGUCCAUUUUUGAACAACAUAUUUAUACUUGUUUGGAUAUGUAAUUUUUAGUAGUAGGAGUUUGCCUUGCCAUUAACAUGUUAUGAUGUUAUUAAGCCCAAACCUAACAACUCUGCAAGGAUCAUACUAUUUAACCUGGGUUAAAGAAGCUUCAAAGACCUUAUUUAUCAACAAAAAAAAGAAAAGAAAAGAAGAAGCUUCAGAGACCUUGAUAAAACUAUUGACACCUUCUUACUGUUGCAUCACAUUUGCUCUGUACUUUUGUGGAUGUCCAAUGAGCAUUGCUUAAGUGAGCUUUUACUGACAGGAAUUGAAGUUGGGUUGGUGACAAGUAGAGCUAAGUUUGGUAUGACAUAGACUAUGCAACUUUGAACAGUUUUAACUUAAGAAUUGGACCAAGCAGACUUAAAUUGGUUAGUUUGGUUUCAUUCCGUAUGGGACUUAGUUCAGUUGGCUCAAUAAUUUAAAAAUUGGGGAUGAUCAGUUUGGUUUUGAUUGAUGGAUGGGGUAAAUAUUUUGUCCUUGUAUACUAAUGCUUUCUCACCUUUUAGAUUUCACUAUUUAGUUCUUGGGUUUUUAAUAUCUUUCCUGGUUUGAUAUUGUCCUUUAUUGUAUAUUUCUAAUAAUGAUAGCCUAUGUUGAGGCAUUAAACUCUCUGAAAUAACCUUGCAAUCUUUACAUAUUAAGCAACACGCUCUUCUUACAAGAAAAUCAUCUAUUUGACUCUUAUUUGACCUACUUUUAAAGGUUAUUUAGUGUUCUUCUCCAGCCUCAUUUCGCUGUCCAAAAACUAUAUCCACCAUGUAUUCUCUGAUACCCUUAGUUAUCUUUUUCUACAUUACCGUUGAACUCUCCAACUAUAAUUAUCUUCUCUCCAACAGAUAUUUCUUGCAUUAGUUCAUCCAAUUGAUUCCAAAAUUGUCCUUUAAUAUAUUCCUCCAAUCAUAUUUGGUCGAUACUCUCAAAACCGUUGUGCUGGCUGAUACUGAUAUUGCGAUCUAAGACCAUUCUUCUAACGAAAACUUUCAUGAGAUGAGCAUAUUGCAAUUCAUGUAGUGCCUGCAAAUUAUCUUGUUUCCCACUCAUUUAAAUA